rnacentral:lncRNA from 1 species
UGAGUGCGCCCCACGUGCCCUCCCAGCAACCCUACUCACCCGCAGCCAGCUGCAUCCAGGCGCAAAUCUUGUAGACCGUGGCUGUGUUACAGACGAAGAACAGGCUGAAGCAGAUAAUGGAGCCGAUGAUGAGGAACAUUGCCAAGGCCACGAAGAACAUGGCGGUCUUGAAGGCUCUGGAGGGGAUAGAGGAGAAGUCCAGAGGUCCGCCCUUGCAGAUGAGUUCCGACGACAGCACAUUGCCCACACAGUACGAGAACAAGCCAAAAUAGCCAGCCUGUGGCGUGCUCACACUGUCGCCUAUCCAGUAGGGCUGGAUAAAGAGGGCCAUGACCAGCACCGAGAAACAGAUGGUGAGUGUGCCCCACAUCACCCCCACGGCGCGCGAGUUUCGCACAUAGUUGGUGUGGUAGAUCUUGGCGGCCUCCUGGGCUGGCAGCAACUUCACCAUGGCGAAGGCGGCUGGGCUAGGUCGGAGGCGCUGGC